GCAUGGAAGAAGGGAAGGGGUUCUGUUUUGUCGGCAUGCAUAGUGAUGAGGCUCUGCGGCCAGUCAAGAUCUAGUUUUCUGGGGUUGGUAUGCGUCCAGUCGAGAUCUAGUUUUCUGGGGCUGGUAGGGGAAGCUUCAUUCUUUCUAUACACAUACACGGAGCCGGGGCUCUACUGCCGGAGUGCCGGUCGAUAUCCAGCAUUCCAGAGGCACUGGAUGAAGAGAAGUUGGUCAGGGACCAGGCACCUACAGGCUGCAGCAGAUGGAGAACCAUGGGAGGCAAAUCGAAUUGAUCUGCCAUCAACUGGUUCAGUUUGCCUAGUACAAAGACAGAUGAGAAAAAGGAUAGUCCUCAGCACGCUGACUACAGCUAAACAGAGAGCACACAAAAGGAACUAUCUUCUAUAUAGUGUAUCUUCUGUAGUAUAGCGUAUAGCAAACUGGUAACAAAAAAACAUUCAUAAUGUUGCAGUCGGAUGAUCUAAGCUAAAUAAGACGUGUCCGCAACUGCAUCAAUAGCUGCGGGAAGCUUGAGCGCUGAAUAUCUGCAGCUGAUAUCUGUAGAUAUCUGAAGCCAAUUCUGUGAGUGUAGUUUCGGUCCUGCAGUGAAGUGAUGGUCGAAGUAAGCCAUGAGAAAAAGAAAAUUAACGAACCGCCGUAGCCAUCUGAAUGCAAGAUACACUGGGAAAAGAGGCGUGCGUAAGAGAUAGCCAUACUAAUAAAUACCUACAUGCAUAUCGUGUAGAGAUUAUGAACUUGUAUCUGAACAUUCACACACACAUUUGAACACCAGCGCACAUUACAUGACAGAACAGGAAACUUUUGUUACCUGCGGACAAAGUAAGCUUUCAUGUUUACACAGCAAUGCCUUCUCAAGAAAUUCAGCCAGGAGUUUACCAAAGAGGCUAGCCUAUAACACCUACUCAAGUAUCUGCAACAAAUACAAAAAGAAUGUGAAUGAUUUGAUCAGUACUUGCUCGCUUGAAGCGUUCAUUCAGCGAAUAGUAUUCAGUGUUCAUUUUGCGAGAGUUGCUACCUUUAAGUUCUCUCAUGGAAGGUCACUGGAGAUACUGGCUAACUACAUCAUUUAAUUUGGGUCAGUCUAUAAUUCUUCAAGAAAGAAAUUUAUGGAAUAUGAUCUGGUGAAGUAUUUGUUGGUACUACUACUACAUGAGUAUUUUCAUUGUUGGCUCCAUCCAGUUCUUUAAAAAAGAUCAAAAGAAGUACUCGAGAAGCAUUAAGGUCAAGUCAUUCAAACUGGUGUAUUUGCUUUCAGCGUGUCCAGCAAACCAUCCAAUGCAUCAACAGUACAAAGAUCAUCUGACAUGUAUUUCUGAAAAACAAAACGCACACGAUCAUAUGCAAUUUUAGAUGCUCUAUUGCAAAGCGUGUGAAUGAUGUAAAAUCUUAAAGCCGUGAGAUGAUAUAGAGCAAUAAUCCGUGAAAAGAGGUUGGUAGAAAUGAAAAUAGAACUAAGCUGGUUAAAAGGAAUUACACAGAAGACCUGGAAAGUCUAAUUGAUUUUCCAACAUCAAUGGGGUCGAGAAGUUCAUAGAUAAUGCAUCUGAUUAUACAUCAGCAUCUUCAUCUCAUUGUGGCUAAAAGUAUUUUCAGCUGCAUCCGUACAAUAUAGGAGUAGAACUCAAGAAUAGGAUACUUGCUGUCUGCAAGUCGAUGCAGACUGACGACUAAUUUGUUGAUUGAUCAAAAAUACGAAAUAUCAACUUUGUUCAUAUAAGUGGCAUUCUCUUAGUUGUAACUAAUAAACAAUGUACCUAAAAAAGGUAAAACUGUGGGUCCCAUGAACCGCUGAAUCAAAACCACAAAUCUCACUUUAUGUGUUUAUGCAGUUCAAAUAAACCUACAGGUUUGCCACAUUGGGUCCUUUAGUUUUAUGCAUAGCUAUCAAACUAAGGCACACACCUAACUUAUAUGUGGUUAUACUGAGACCUAAGGACACAUAGAUCGACUGGAGGUGGAAUAAUAAUGGUUUACCUCCCGUAACAAAAUUAAUAAAUUAUAGGAUAUAAAGAUCAAAGCAAGACCUUCUACAUACCUCUUUAUUAGAAAUACCUCCCAUCUGAAACACGUGGUCAUGAAAUUUAUCUCAGAGCCGCUAAGGAAAAAAGAAGGGGACUAAUUAGGAUUCCUAGCAAUAAGUAACCAUGGAGAAAUAGAAAACCAGGAGUACGAAAUAGAAAUCACAAAAAAUCUUUGCUGUACAAAAAUUGUUUAAGAAUCCCAUGAAAGCCACAAUUAUUUUUGUUAAUUAGUACUGUGAGGAAGAAAUGCAAAAUUUUGUAGAUCUGGUGGCAGCUUAUAGGUGCACUGUCACAGUUCUGCAGUUAAAAUCUACGUCCAAUCUGAAGAAAUGAGGACAUGACAUGGAUGCUGAAGAACAUACAAUUUGGUGGAAAUAAUUCAGUGCAAAGAAUAGUACACCGCAAAAUAGUAAGAAAAGCAUUUCUGACUGGGCCACUGGGUGAGAGUAAAACUGAAUGGGAUCAGAUCCCACUGACCAAAAAUGAAGAUUUUUACAUCUAAGAAAGAGAGGAAAGCAAAGUGAACUCAUAAUUAUGUAAUACUCCAAAAUGACGUAUUCACUUUCUCUGAGCCCCAAGACCACAUCAACACCACCCAGACAGCUCCUCCUCUUCUGCCCAAGCACUGUGAAAACAAAAGAAUAAAAGCAAGGAGACAGCACCAAUGAGUGUAUACAAUGCUGAACAAAGGAAACUCUUGAUUGGAAUUAAUACCUGCAGUGGCUGAAUUGUGUUGGAUGCCUUUGUCCUCUGCGAAAACCUUGGCUAGAACUUUCCAACUUCUCUAAUUGGUUAAGACAACAAAGAAGCCAGAUUCGGUUAACCUAAGUAUUAGUUCUUUUGCAAACUGGCAUGUACGAAAUUUCCUUCAUGCCAUUCUCUUCCUUACCUUCUGGUACUUAUCAGCAUUCUGUAGAACUGAUGCACGCCCCUUUUCAUCCCCAGACAGCACUGAUCAUUGGAUUUGCUCUACACAGUUAGAUUUCAGAUUAUUUAGCCUGUAAAAAUAACUAAGUGUUAAUCUGAUCAUGAGUAUUAACUACAGACAUCCAAAGGUAAGCAUAUAUUAUAAUUUUUGGAUCCAUGUAUAUACCUGAUCUCGAGAGCAGCUGUAAUUUAAAUAUUUACCAGAUCGAAGCAACCCAAGCCCAAAGCAAGCGUAUGCUGACCAUACCAUGAUGUAGCAGCUAUCUCUUGGCGCCUUUGUGUUCAGCCAUGGCGUACGCUGAAGUGUGCCGCGAGAUGUCCGCCGCGGAUGCCAACCACACAGAGGCGUGUCUUGCUGGAGCAGGCCGUGGCUCGACAACGUCCGGCCGCCCGCGUGAGUUACCUCAACGACUCGACGGAGGCAAAGAUAUUUGCAACCUAGAAGAGAGAUGAGCAGAGAACCCUAGAAAAAUUAUUUCAAGUCUAAGAAACAAAACAACAAACAUGUGGAGGGCAGUAAUACAGUACACACCAGAAUUUUGUGCUUCCGAACA